rnacentral:rRNA from 1 species
CAUGCAAGUCGAGGGGAUACAGUCCCGCUUCGGCGGGAGCUGACGACCGGCGCACGGGUGAGUAACGCGUAUGCAACUUUCCUGUAACUGGAGGAUAGCCCCUGGAAACGGGGAUUAAUACUGCGUAAUACCUAAAUACCGCAUGGUAUUAAGGUCAAAUCUACGGAGGUUACAGAUGGGCAUGCGUGCCAUUAGCUAGAUGGUAAGGUAACGGCUUACCAUGGCAAUGAUGGCUAGGGGUUCUGCAAGGAAGGCCCCCCACACUGGUACUGAGACACGGACCAGACUCCUACGGGAGGCAGCAGUGAGGAAUAUUGGUCAAUGGAGGCAACUCUGAACCAGCCAAGCCGCGUGAAGGAAGACUGUCCUAUGGAUUGUAAACUUCUUUUGUGGCAGAAUAAACUACCGUACUUGUACGGUAUUGCAUGUAUGCCAUGAAUAAGCAUCGGCUAACUCCGUGCCAGCAGCCGCGGUAAUACGGAGGAUGCAGGCGUUAUCCGGAUUUAUUAGGUUUAAAGGGUGUUCAGGCUGCCUGGUAAGUCAGGGGUGAAAGUCGGUUGCUCAACGAUCGAAUUGCCUUUGAAACUGUCAGGCUCGAGUAUGGAUGCGGUAGGCGGAAUGUGUAGUGUAGCGGUGAAAUGCAUAGAUCUUACACAGAACACCGAUUGCGAAGGCAGCUUACCAAACCAGCACUGACGCUGAAGCACGAAAGCGUGGGGAGCGAACAGGAUUAGAUACCCUGGUAGUCCACGCCGUAAACUUUGCUCACUCGCUGUUGGCGAUAGACAGUCAGCGGCCAAGGGAAACCGGAUAAGUGAGCCACCUG